UAAAAUUAUGUUGAUUUUUUUGUUUUUAUAUUAUAUUCAUUUCUGAAUAUAUUUUCUCUAUUUCUCUAUGCAGUGAACCAUCCCCAGAAAAGAAAGAGAAAAAAGAAGUUCAGGAAAACUAACCAGUACAUAAUAAACGAAGGCAACAGUGGGUGGAAAGUUCCAUACUCAUAGUCCAACACCCUGCUAAGAAGAUAGUGAGGUGUAUUUUCUCAUCUAUUCUUUAGGGCCAACCUUAGUCAUUAUAAUCAUCCAGUGUACAAUGUUAGAAAUUGUUGUUUUUGUUGUUGAUGCCAUUCUUUCCAUUUAGAUUAUUGAAGGCAUUGUAUAUAUCAUUUUCCUGGAUCUGCAGACUACAUAUCAGUUCAUGCCUUCCCUUGCUUCUAUGUAUAGCAUAAGCUCUGCUUCUGUCUUUCUGAAAUCUAGGGAUAAGAAGAGAGACAAGGCAAGGUGGAGAGUAUCUUUCUAAUGUCAUAGCUCAUGAGCCCCUACUAGUCUACUUCAUCCACUGAUAAUCACUUGAUAGCAAUUAGUCAGCCAAGUAGUAUAUUAAGUGUAGUUGGAUUAAAAAUUGUCCAGAAGAAAGUGGAGUCAUGCAUAGAGUACACAUGUAUCAAAAGGGCAAUUCAUACUUCCUGGCUGUUGGAUGUCAAAACUCUUCUCCUCAUUGUGUUGGCACUCAGGAAACUCCACUAGACAUGGUACACUUAUUCAAGUGGACUGCUUGUAGAAUCUUGAAGCUACCUUCCUCAGCAUGUCUAAUUUGCCCUCAGCUUUUGAAGAGAACUCUGUUGCCAUCACUGCUCUUCCAGGGAAACUGCUACAAAGGAAAUGAAAAAGUUCAAAUCCCUCUGUCCUAUGAAGUUCACAAGGUCCUCUUCUGGCCAAGGUCUUUCUUCCUAUGGUUUUCCAAAAUUAACCUGUUCAGAGCAGAGUCAAGAUGGUGGAGAAGGUACCCAGACUCAUCUGAUCUCUACCAAAUUACCCUCCAAAGAAACUAUGAAUAUCAUACCUUAGAAUGAAUUCUGGAGCAGCAUAACCCACAAAGAGAUACAAGGUAAAGUAACUUUUUUGGCCCCAAACAAUUUAGUAGGCCAAUGAGGGAUCUACUGCACUGGGGAGGAGGUGCAACAGGACGCACCAAAGCAGGCCUCAUCAAGGCAGCAGGUCUUGGAGGCAACUGAAGCAGCAGCAAGGGCUUCUGGAGCUCUCAGCCACAGAUGAUGGUAAGUCUGGGGGCAAGGGGCAGAUGACUCCUCAGAAGAUUACAGGGGUCCCUUUGCUGUCUCUGCCUGUCCAACUCCUGUCCCAUUGCCCACGCAGAGAACCAGUUCCCAGGCCAAGGGUGUGAUCUCAGGGUGAAGAGGAGCACCAGCAGACACUAACACUUGUAGCCAGAAGGGAGCAGGGGAUCCUGGUUACAGUUCCAAAGAGGAAAAGAAUGCUUGGGAUUACUCACAGACCAGAGCACAGGCCAGGAGAGUAUUAAACACACCUCUCCUGACAUCACAACUUCAGAAAAACUGAAAGCACAUAGCUUCCCAGAGCCAGCUCUGAAAUCAUUUGUACAAAGUACCUGAAACUUAGAACAGCCCAACUUUCAGGGUUUUUUUUUAAUU
rnacentral:lncRNA from 1 species